GCCAUUACCUAUCCCCAACUCAUUGUCCAUGUCUGAAAGAUGCAGAAUUUCCUCCAACUAGCCAGCCACACCUUCUACCCUGCAAGGGCAGUGAGAGAACGCAGGAGGAAAACCUGGGCUGUUAACCACCCAAAGCCAGCGCCUCUUGGCAGAAACUUUAGUGUUUCCGGUUGUAGACACUCAGCUCGGCGGAGGUUGAGAAAGAAUGUUGUUUCAGAACAGCUUCUUGCAGAGGUCAACCCCAACUGCAAGGAUUUGGUCUUUGCCUGUUGGAUGGCCAGGAAAUAACAGCUUUGAAGAGGCUGCUCAAGGUGCCCUCAGAGGGGAAGAUCUGCUGAAGAGAAGGAGAAGUCCUUGCAGUCCCUUGGCAAAGCAGGUGCUACCUCUGUGGCUCUGGAGAGCAGAGAAUUCACUGAAGGACAUGAGAUGCCCAGCAGCUCCCCCAUGCCAACCUACCCCAAUGCUCCCAACUCAAGAGAAGAGAGGGCCUCACCCUGAGGAGCCAUGGAUGAAUGCUUAUGGAAGGACAGAAUGAAUGAUUGAGAUAACAUCGUCCUGAACACAUCAGGCAAGAUACCUGAAGGAAAUAGGAAGCAUGUCCAGAGGGGACCUGAAGAGGCAUCCAUGGAGGGACAGUUGACUGAGCUGUAAAGAGGGGAUGUGGAAGCACCAGGGACCCAGCAAUAGCACACAGCGUCACUCCACCUCUGCGAAGGGGGCUAGAAGAGGGCACGGUCUUACUGGAAUGGGGUAGGAGCUGGACUGUGGAGGGUGGGCCACUCUGCAUGGCAGGAGCUAUAGGACCCAUGGUCACCACCCAGCACAUGGGGAUCACUCCUAUUGGCUUCGUUGCCUGUCUUCCUCAGGGCGCUGUGAGAUCCUUAAUAAACCAGGUUUUGCUAAACUCUAGACCA
rnacentral:lncRNA from 1 species